rnacentral:rRNA from 1 species
GACGAACGCUGGCGGCGUGCUUAACACAUGCAAGUCGAACGGUAAGGCCCUUCGGGGUACACGAGUGGCGAACGGGGGAGUAACACGUGGGUGAUCUGCCCUGCACUUCGGGAUAAGCCUGGGAAACGGGGUCUAAUACCGGAUAGGACUCCGGACUGCAUGGUCUGGGGUGGAAAGCUUUUGCGGUUGGGGAUGGGGCCGGGGCAUAUCAGGGUGUUGGGGGGGUGGUGGCCUAACAAGGCGGCGACGGGUAGCCGGCCUGAGAGGGUGGCCGGCCACACUGGGACUGAGAUACGGCCCAGACUCCUACGGGAGGCAGCAGUGGGGAAUAUUGCACAAUGGGCGCAAGCCUGAUGCAGCGACGCCGCGUGAGGGAUGACGGCCUUCGGGUUGUAAACCUCUUUCAGCACAGACGAAGCGCAGGUGACGGUAUGUGCAGAAGAAGGACCGGCCAACUACGUGCCAGCCGCCGCAGUAA